CUCUCUCUCUCUCCUCUCUUCUCUCUCUUCCUCCAAUUCGGGUUUCUCCAUGGCUUCUGUCAACCAAGACAACAUCCCAGGGGCCAGCGGCACAGCUCCGGCCAAGAAAUCUCAGGCGCCGACUCUCAAUCGGUUCUCAAGAGGGUUUCUGAGUGAAAGAAGAUGGGUGGAGAUUCGGGCAUCUCUGCGUUUCCUGAAGAAGACGACGACAUAUUCAAUGGAACCAACCAAGGACAGGGUGACUCAGUACAAAGUGUCGCUCUAAUGACUUAUCCCUUUAAGCCUCCCGAGGUCAAGUUUGGAUACUCUUCAGGUAGAGUACCCAGAGAAUCCUCCAUUAGUGAGGAUUUGAUUUGAUUUGAUUGGUGAAUUGAUUCUCUAGUUGCAUGGCUAUAAUUGCACAUAAGUAUUCUGCUUGGGCAUUUAUGUACUUCAAUAUUGGAUUAAUGGAUACAUUAUUAAGCUUAGGUCUGUAGGUGGGUGGAGUAUGGAUAAAGUGCAUGAUUGGAAUAUUUGAAUUGAGCAAGGGACUGGUAUUUGUUAUGUAUUGGCGUCUAAUGAUGUCACUAAAGUUUGGUAUGUGAACAGAGAGAUUACUACUUUUGUUGUCAAUUUUUAGUUUACUGCAAUAUUUGAGUGUCACUUGUUUAGUUUGUUUCCAGUGUAAAUUGUGGUCUAGCAUUCUGUUCUGUUUUUGGAUAUUAACAUGGAAAGCUUCAUAUAACUGUUCUUGACUGUUUGCAAACCUCAUGUAGAGAUAUAUUGAUCGUAGUUGUCUUAGCUCAGUUUAAAUCUAUCAAUUAAUCAACUGAUACUACACUCAAACCACAUCAUGGAUUUUCUUCGUCGGUAUAGUGUAAUAAGAUAUCAUUCAUUGUUCAUUACAAG